rnacentral:rRNA from 1 species
AGCGUUGUUCGGAAUGACUGGGCGUAAAGGGCGCGUAGGCGGUUUUUUAAGUGAGGCGUGAAAGCCCUGGGCUUAACCCAGGAGGUGCGCUUCAGACUGGAAAGCUUGAGGACGAGAGAGGAAAUUGGAAUUCCUAGUGUAGAGGUGAAAUUCGUAGAUAUUAGGAAGAACACCAGUGGCGAAGGCGACUUUCUGGCUCGUAACUGACGCUGAGGCGCGAAAGCGUGGGGAGCAAACAGG